GUUAAGGAUUCUCAUGAAGUGCCAUAG
rnacentral:piRNA from 1 species